AGCUUUGCGCAGUAGCAGUACUGUAGCCAGUGGGGUUUAUCUGAGGCAUGAUUAUUGCUAAUUGAAAACUUUUCUCAAUAAU
rnacentral:snRNA from 1 species